rnacentral:pre_miRNA from 1 species
AGGCAAGAUGUUGGCAUAGCUGAUUUACACUCUGUGGUCAGCUCUGUCGCAUAUUGCCCCC